rnacentral:rRNA from 1 species
CCUACGGGAGGCUGCAGUGGGGAAUAUUGGGCAAUGGGCGCAAGCCUGACCCAGCAACGCCGCGUGAAGGAAGAAGGCUUUCGGGUUGUAAACUUCUUUUAAGAGGGAAGAGCAGAAGACGGGACCUCGGGAAUAAGCCACGGCUAACGACGUGCCAGCAGCCGCGGUAAUACGUAGGUGGCAAGCGUUGUCCGGAUUUACUGGGUGUAAAGGGCGUGUAGCCGGGCUGACAAGUCAGAUGUGAAAUUCCGGGGCUCAACCCCGGACCUGCAUUUGAAACUGUUGGUCUUGAGUAUCGGAGAGGCAGGCGGCCUUCCUAGUGUAGCGGUGAAAUGCGUAGAUAUUAGGCGGAACACCAGUGGCGAAGGCGGCCUGCUGGACGACAACUGACGGUGAGGCGCGAAAGCGUGGGGAGCAAACAGGAUUAGCUACCCGUGUAGUC